rnacentral:rRNA from 1 species
AGCGAACGCUGGCGGCAGGCUUAACACAUGCAAGUCGAGCGGGCAUCUUCGGAUGUCAGCGGCAGACGGGUGAGUAACACGUGGUAACGUACCCUUCGGUUCGGAACAACUCUGGGAAACUGGAGCUAAUACCGGAUACGCCCUUAUGGGGAAAGGUUUACUGCCGAAGGAUCGGCCCGCGUCUGAUUAGCUAGUUGGUGGGGUAACGGCCUACCAAGGCGACGAUCAGUAGCUGGUCUGAGAGGAUGAUCAGCCACACUGGGACUGAGACACGGCCCAGACUCCUACGGGAGGAAGCAGUGGGGAAUAUUGGACAAUGGGCGCAAGCCUGAUCCAGCCAUGCCGCGUGAGUGAUGAAGGCCUUAGGGUUGUAAAGCUCUUUUGUCCGGGACGAUAAUGACGGUACCGGAAGAAUAAGCCCCGGCUAACUUCGUG